rnacentral:tRNA from 1 species
GCCGAAGUGGCGGAAUUGGUAGACGCGCUAGGUUCAGGGUCUAGUUGGGGUUUCCCAGUGAAAGUUCGAGUCUUUUCUUCGGCACCA